rnacentral:snoRNA from 1 species
CAGAUUGGGAUGAAGCUAAAUAUAUAAUCCAACACUUGAUCUGAGUUAUUACUAGUGAUGGUAAAAAUGAUUCUAUGCUUCUGAAUCUCG